AACGAACGCUUGCGGCGCGCCUAAUACAUGCAAGUCGAACGAGGUAGCAAUACCAAGUGGCGCACGGGUGAGUAACACGUGGAUAAUGUGCCAUUCAGUGGGGAAUAACCAACCGAAAGGUUGGCUAAUACCGCAUGAGACCACAGUCCCUGAGGGGACAGAGGUUAAAGAUUUAUCGCUGAAUGAUCAGUCUGCGUAAGAUUAGCUAGUUGGUGAGGUAACGGCUCACCAAGGCAACGAUCUUUAGGUGGUCUGAGAGGAUGACCACCCACACUGGAACUGAGACACGGUCCAGACUCCUACGGGAGGCAGCAGUAGGGAAUAUUGCACAAUGGGGGGAAACCCUGAUGCAGCGACG
rnacentral:rRNA from 1 species